GACGAACCGUGCAAACGUUGUUCGGAUUCACUGGGCUUAAAGGGCGCGUAGGCGGGUGGUCAAGUCAGGGGUGAAAUCUUUCAGCUCAACUGGAAAAUAGCUUCUGAUACUGGCCGUCUUGAGGGAGGUAGGGGCAUGUGGAACUUCCGGUGGAGCGGCGAAAUGCGUAGAUAUCGGAAGGAACGCCGGUGGCGAAAGCGACGUGCUGGACCUUUUCUGACGCUGAGGCGCGAAAGCCAGGGGAGCAAACGGG
rnacentral:rRNA from 1 species